ACUAUAACGGUCCUAAGGUAGCGAAAUUCCUUGUCGGGUAAGUUCCGACCUGCACGAAUGGCGUAAUGAUGGCCAGGCUGUCUCCACCCGAGACUCAGUGAAAUUGAACUCGCUGUGAAGAUGCAGUGUACCCGCGGCAAGACGGAAAGACCCCGUGAACCUUUACUAUAGCUUGACACUGAACAUUGAGCCUUGAUGUGUAGGAUAGGUGGGAGGCUUUGAAGUGUGGACGCCAGUCUGCAUGGAGCCGACCUUGAAAUACCACCCUUUAAUGUUUGAUGUUCUAACGUUGACCCGUAAUCCGGGUUGCGGACAGUGUCUGGUGGGUAGUUUGACUGGGGCGGUCUCCUCCUAAAGAGUAACGGAGGAGCACGAAGGUUGGCUAAUCCUGGUCGGACAUCAGGAGGUUAGUGCAAUGGCAUAAGCCAGCUUGACUGCGAGCGUGACGGCGCGAGCAGGUGCGAAAGCAGGUCAUAGUGAUCCGGUGGUUCUGAAUGGAAGGGCCAUCGCUCAACGGAUAAAAGGUACUCCGGGGAUAACAGGCUGAUACCGCCCAAGAGUUCAUAUCGACGGCGGUGUUUGGCACCUCGAUGUCGGCUCAUCACAUCCUGGGGCUGAAGUAGGUCCCAAGGGUAUGGCUGUUCGCCAUUUAAAGUGGUACGCGAGCUGGGUUUAGAACGUCGUGAGACAGUUCGGUCCCUAUCUGCCGUGGGCGCUGGAGAACUGAGGGGGGCUGCUCCUAGUACGAGAGGACCGGAGUGGACGCAUCACUGGUGUUCGGGUUGUCAUGCCAAUGGCACUGCCCGGUAGCUAAAUGCGGAAGAGAUAAGUGCUGAAAGCAUCUAAGCACGAAACUUGCCCCGAGAUGAGUUCUCCCUGACUCCUUGAGAGUCCUGAAGGAACGUUGAAGACGACGACGUUGAUAGGCCGG
rnacentral:rRNA from 1 species